rnacentral:rRNA from 1 species
AGAUUGAACGCUGGCGGCAGGCCUAACACAUGCAAGUCGAGCGGUAGAGAGGUGCUUGCACCUCUUGAGAGCGGCGGACGGGUGAGUAAUGCCUAGGAAUCUGCCUAGUGGCGGGGGAUAACGUUCGGAAACGGACGCUAAUACCGCAUACGUCCUACGGGAGAAAGCGGGGGACCUUCGGGCCUCGCGCCAUUAGAUGAGCCUAGGUCGGAUUAGCUAGGUUGGUGAGGUAAUGGCUCACCAAGGCGACG